rnacentral:rRNA from 1 species
UACGUAGGGUGCAAGCGUUAAUCGGAAUUACUGGGCGUAAAGCGUGCGCAGGUGGUUAUGUAAGACAGGUGUGAAAUCCCAGGGCUUAACCUUGGAACUGCAUUUGUGACUGCAUAGCUAGAGUACGGUAGAGGGGGAUGGAAUUCCGCGUGUAGCAGUGAAAUGCGUAGAUAUGCGGAGGAACACCGAUGGCGAAGGCAAUCCCCUGGACCUGUACUGACGCUCAUGCACGAAAGCGUGGGGAGCAAACAGG